AGAAUCAACGCUGGCGGCGUGCCUAACACAUGCAAGUCGAACGAGGUAGCAAUACCUAGUGGCAGACGGGUGAGUAGCGCGUGGUCAACCUACCGUUGAGUGGGGGAUAACUAGCCGAAAGGUUAGCUAAUACCGCAUACGUCUCCGAGGGGCAUCCCUUGGCGAUAAAAGGAGCAAUCCGCUCGAUGACGGGACCGCGUCCCAUUAGCUAGUUGGUGGGGUAACGGCCUACCAAGGCAUCGAUGGGUAGCUGGUUUGAGAGAGCGACCAGCCACACUGGGACUGAGAUACGGCCCAGACUCCUACGGGAGGCAGCAGUGAGGAAUUUUCCGCAAUGGGCGAAAGCCUGACGGAGCGACGCCGCGUGUGGGAAGAAGGCCUUCGGGUCGUAACCACUGUCGAAGGGAAGAUAAUGACGGUACCCUUGGAGGAGCCCCGGCUAACUACGCGCCAGCAGCCGC
rnacentral:rRNA from 1 species